rnacentral:rRNA from 1 species
CCUACGGGGGGCAGCAGUGAGGAAUAUUGGUCAAUGGGCGGGAGCCUGAACCAGCCAAGUCGCGUGAAGGAAGAAGGUACUUAGUAUUGUAAACUUCUUUUGUCGGGGAACAAAGGCGGAGACGCGUCUCCGGAUGAGUGUACCCGAAGAAAAAGCAUCGGCUAACUCCGUGCCAGCAGCCGCGGUAAUACGGAGGAUGCGAGCGUUAUCCGGAUUUAUUGGGUUUAAAGGGAGCGUAGGCCGGCUUUUAAGUCAGCUGUGAAAGUCCGCGGCUCAACCGUGGAAUUGCAGUUGAAACUGGAGGCCUUGAGUGCACACAGGGAUGCCGGAAUUCAUGGUGUAGCGGUGAAAUGCUUAGAUCUCAUGAAGAACUCCGAUCGCGAAGGCAAGUGUCCGGGGUGCAACUGACGCUGAGGCUCGAAAGUGCGGGUAUCAAACAGGAUUAGAUACCCCUGUAGUC